rnacentral:tRNA from 1 species
AUCGCCUAAUAUUCUCGACCAUCUUAUCCUUAUAUUAAGGGGUCAUAAUGUAAUGUAAGAUGUAUAGAAUA